rnacentral:rRNA from 1 species
GACGAACGCUGGCGGCGUGCUUAACACAUGCAAGUCGAACGGUGACGGAGAGCUUGCUCUCCUGAUCAGUGGCGAACGGGUGAGUAACACGUGGGCAACCUGCCCCAGACUUCGGGAUAACGCUUCGAAAGAGGUGCUAAUACCGGAUACGAACUCCCUGGGCAUCCAGGGAGUUGGAAAGUUUUUCGGUCUGGGAUGGGCCCGCGGCCUAUCAGCUUGUUGGUGAGGUAAUGGCUCACCAAGGCGACGACGGGUAGCCGGCCUGAGAGGGCGACCGGCCACACUGGGACUGAGACACGGCCCAGACUCCUACGGGUGGCAG